rnacentral:rRNA from 1 species
GCGGCGGACGGGUGAGUAACGCGUGGGUAACCUGCCUUACACUGGGGGAUAACAGUUAGAAAUGACUGCUAAUACCGCAUAAGCGCACAGGGCCGCAUGGUCUGGUGUGAAAAACUCCGGUGGUGUAAGAUGGACCCGCGUCUGAUUAGGUAGUUGGUGGGGUAACGGCCCACCAAGCCGACGAUCAGUAGCCGACCUGAGAGGGUGACCGGCCACAUUGGGACUGAGACACGGCCCAAACUCCUACGGGAGGCAGCAUG